AUUGAACGCUGGCGGCAUGCCUUACACAUGCAAGUCGAACGGCAGCACGGGAGCAAUCCUGGUGGCGAGUGGCGAACGGGUGAGUAAUAUAUCGGAACGUGCCCAGUCGUGGGGAUAACGUAGCGAAAGCUACGCUAAUACCGCAUACGAUCUAUGGAUGAAAGCGGGGGAUCGCAAGACCUCGCGCGAUUGGAGCGGCCGAUAUCAGAUUAGGUAGUUGGUGAGGUAAAGGCUCACCAAGCCGACGAUCUGUAGCUGGUCUGAGAGGACGACCAGCCACACUGGGACUGAGACACGGCCCAGACUCCUACGGGAGGCAGCAGCGGGGAAUUUUGGACAAUGGGCGCAAGCCUGAUCCAGCAAUGCCGCGUGCAGGAUGAACGCCUUCGGGUUGUAAACUGCUUUUGUACGGAACGAAACGGUGAGCUCUAAUACAGUUUGCUAAUGACGGUACCGUAAGAAUAAGCACCGGCUAACUACGU
rnacentral:rRNA from 1 species